UGGCUCUGAUACCAAUUGUAGGAACCCAUUUUUAAAUGAACGGUGGACGCGGAAGAAAUAAUAUCUCGAGAUUCAUCAUGUAUGAAUAUAUGAAAAUAUGAAGAACAUGAUAAGUAACUCUUAGAUAAGAAAAGAUAAGAAAAGAAAGAGAGAUAAAACUAUUAUUCAUGAAGAUCAUGGUUGGAGAGAGAAACUCUCCCUUGGUGGGAGAACCCACCACUUUCUCUCUCUAGAUUACAUUGUGAGAAAAGUAAUCUUCUAAGAAAAGUAAAAUGAGCUAGCUAAAGUAAGAAAUGACCAACUCUCCCUUUAUAUAGGAGGGAGAGUAUUUACACCACAAAAUACAAUAAAGGGAAAAUACAACCUAAUAAUCACUCAUUAUUUGUGGAGCAUUUACAUGCACCAACAUUACAUUUAUCACACUUCGGGAGAGUGCUGGCAUAUGGCUUUGUAGGUGUCGGUGCAGCAGUGGUGGUAGCGGCAUGAACCACCACUGUCUGUUGUUUCUUCGCGGGUUCUUGGGUUGGUUCUCCCUUCUUCUUCCCUCCAAACUUCCUCUUGUUAUUAUUUCCCUUCUUUUUUCGGUGACGGGAGUCAUUAUGCCCUUUUGUACCCCAUGGUCAAUGAGCUUUUGAGCAAGGCGCUUGGCGCUGUCGAACAUUGUUGGGUUUGUAGCAAUCACAUUCCCUUGAAUCUAGGGAGAUAGUCCCCAAAUGAAACGUUCUACUUUCUAUCUUUCCGAAGUGAUCAUUCCAGGAUAGAGGAUUGCCAAGUCGCUAAAUCUGGCAGUGUAGGAUUCGAUGUCAGAGUCGUUCAUGGUGAGAUUCCAAAGCUCUUGUUCUUGCUUUUGAACCUCACCCGUAUGGCAGUACUCUUCAAGCAUCAUGAUUUUGAGAUCCUCCCAGCCCAUCGAGUUUGCUAUCGGGAGGGUUAGAGAUUUGAUGUGGCCAUUCCACCAUGAAAGGCCCCUAUCAAAAAAAGUGCAGGCUGCAAACUUAAUUUUGUUCUCCUCAUGACAGGCGUAGAUUUCAAAUACUAAUUCUGUCUUUUCGGACCAUCGCAUCAGAGCAAUGAUGCCACCACUUCCAUUGAAGGGCUUGGGCUUGCAGUUUGCAAAGUCUUUAUAAGUACAUUCCCUUGGGCGCCCUUGGUUUUCACUUUGAUUGGAGUUGUUCGUUCCAUUUCCUCCUGCAUUGUUGCUACUACUUAUUGGAGCCAUGGCAGCGGCUACAACAGUAGUCACUGCAGCUUGCAACACUGCAGUGUCCCUUUGUGGAGGAGGUGGCAGUGGUGGUGGCGCCGUGGUAUUGUUCUUGCACCUGUUGUAUCUUCUGGGCGGAAUUUUCUACCACAUGAUGGAAUGAUUAUGAGUUUUUGAUAUAGUUAUGUUUCGGACAUUACUGUAAUGGAACACCUUGUUUGUAUCGAAUCUAGUUGUUAUUGAGAGUCGUUUGUACUUUAUAAUUGAAAUUUGACUAUACCAAAUAAAAAUGAAAAGGAAAGACAUAGUAGAUAACAACAUCCAAUAAAAUGAAAUACAUAUCUUUUUCAUUGAAGACAAGGUGCUAGUACAUAUGUUUUGGGGAAAAUUCACCUCUAAGGAGGUCUAUAGUACAUCAAAAGAAAAUAAAACAUUUGCAUCGUAACGACCCUCCGAAUAGUGUAAUCACUUAGACGUAGGGUCGGUACCACAUACAGGAUAAAGGGUAGCACCAACGCAUACCCAUAAACCUAGUUUAUAACACAUUUUGAGUAGGAUGAACCCUACUCACGAUGGGUAGUCCUCUGUGGUCCCUGGGAUGAAGUAGAGGCGCCCUGCAGCUCAGCCAACCGACGCUCGACUGCGAUCACUCUCUCCUCGAGUGUCACAUGCCUCUCCUGAUACUCCCUUACCUCUGCUCGGGCGGUGGUAAGGUCCUCGAUGAGUUGGCCUAUGGGAUAGUAAACCCUCACAAUGUCUCGUGUGUGCGCGUCUGUGACCUCUGCUACGGCUCCUAACUCCAGUAUGUGGUUUUUCGUCGCCCUUGUCUGGAGACCAAUGCCCAAUAUCCAUUGGAUCAUGACGGUAAGUGUCACACCCCAAAACCAAGAACGGCGGAAACGUUCUGGGGCGGAGGACGUCAUGUAUAGUAUCAACAACAAUGCAAAGUAGUAAACAAGCAACAACAUCAUCCAUUGCAUUAAUAAAAUAAUUAUUAUACAAUUGUAUUCUGUCAAAUUUUGAUAAACACUAAAGCAUAAAUCAAAAUGAAAGAUAAGUCUUGAAUAAGAUUCAUCUUCCUUUCUCCUUGCAUCGGUACCUGUCUAUGAUGACCUGAGGAUACAAGUAAUUUUGAAAGCGAGUAUCAGCUAUAAAGCUGGUGAGAUCAUAAGCAUUUAGUGUCUUAAUUUGUAUGUAAGUAUUUGUAAGUCUAUGUAUUAUAAGAAUUUGUAAAUGUAUAUGAAUUGUAAGUGUUUGAAAAACCCUAGAAUCCCUAUGAUUCCUUCUAGUAUGUGAAGGUGUCUUCUCCCAAGACCUAACUGUUAUGUGUGUGUGUCUCUUGUAAGAGUAUGUGUUUUUCCAAAAUAUAACUAUCAUUAUCCAAAAAUAUAGUUUGUACAUUUAUGUUUAAGUGAGGUUAUCACUAAAAUAUGUACUGGAAAAAUUAACGUAAUACUCAAUCGUAGCUCUAAGAGGCUACUAUUUAUCAACAGAUAGUAACUACAUUACCGUGCUUCCUAUGAAGAAUUCACUAAGUGAAUGUAAUAGGAAGAAAUGGUACUAUGGUGUAGUGUCGGACUACAACCGUACCUAUUACCAUAAGUCUAGGGUAAUAUUUCCAAGUACCACAGUAUUUGGAUAUAUAUAUGAGUAUAUAUAUCAGUACACCGAUACUCAACUUGCCUUAUUUGAGGGAUAAGGUAUAAUGUGAUGUCUAGAUCCCAGACUGUUUCGCUCCCCUAUCAAAGGGAUUUUAGGACCUACACACGACCCCUGCAUGAAUGCAAGCCGUGAGCAUCCACAUUACUAUGAUCAUGUAUACUCGAUAUACCAAUCACAAUUGUAGUGUGAUUUAUCAGUAUAGUUAGAUCCUGAACUGGUUCUGAGCUAUAGCCCCUAGUGACGUCUGUUCUAUGUAUAUGUAUAUGUAUAUGUAUAUGUAAGCGUAUUCAUGUAAGUGUGAUCAUGAAAUUGUACACUGGUGUACUGAAAUGUUCUACGUGUGCUAGCUGAAAUAUGUGUUCUCUCUAUCUAGCAAGUAUUGUUACGUAAGCGUUCUAGUAUAUCUGUAUAUGUAUUGUUUCUAGUAUAUCUGUAUAUGUAUUGUUUCUAGUAUAUCUGUAUAUGUAUUGUUUCUAGUAUAUCUGUAUAUGUAUUGUUUCUAGUAUAUCUGUAUAUG
rnacentral:lncRNA from 1 species